rnacentral:siRNA from 1 species
GCACCCAUGGCCUAAUGGA